CCUACGGGUGGCAGCAGUGGGGAAUAUUGGUCAAUGGCGGGAACCCUGAUCCAGCGACGCCGCGUGAGUGAAGAAGUUUCCCGGUAUGUAAAGCUCUAUCAGCCGGGAAGCAAGAAAUGACGGUACCUGCCUAAGAAGCCCCGGGUAACUACGUGCCAGCAGCCGCGGUAAUACGGAGGGCGCAAGCGUUAUCCGGAUUUACUGGGUGUAAAGGGUGCGUAGGCGGCGAUGCAAGUCUGAAGUGAAAGGCGGGGGGCCAACCUCCGGACUGCUUUGGAAACUGUAUGGCUGGAGUGCAGGAGAGGUAAGUGGAAUUCGUAGUGUAGCGGUGAAAUGCGUAGAUAUUGGGAAGAACACCAGUGGCGAAGGCGGCUUACUGGA
rnacentral:rRNA from 1 species